CCAGGUAAGGAAAAUGUUACACUAUAACGUGUAUAUGGGAGAGUCAGGGGCGGACUCAUUUCAAAUCCUUCUACCAAAACGCAGCUAAACUUAGCUUUAUGCUGGCUUCGCUACUGAACGGAAUCCUCAUAAACCAACCAACAUGUUCAUAUAACAAGGGGGAGCAUUUCCUUGAUUGCAAUGGCAUCCAAGAGAGGGCCACAAGUCGGAUCCUCCUGCAUCCCAGGAUUAUGAAACGUCACCUUAACAACACUCGAAGCCGCCCUAAAGCUCCACGCGUCCUCGUCGCGCCGAACGUGAGGCUGUAGAUUGAGCCUGGUUUCAAGUUCUUUACAUACUGAGAAACCGAAGCCUCGUUCCCGAGCCUGACC